ACAUCUAUCAUCUGUUUAUUAUUCUGAAGUAUGUACCAAAAUAAUUGCUAUACGUAAAAAUAGCAUUCUGCAUUGUUUAACUAAGUACAAAUGUUUACAGUCAAGCAUCACUAAUUGUACAAAAAUAACAACACAAUAAAGAUACAAAUAAUGAAGAACAGAACAUCCUCACGUCAGUGUGCAAACCGUUUAUACAGACGGAAAUGCCUCUUUCUCAGGUGGCACUCCAUGAUAAAUUAUUUAAAUAGCAUUUAUCUACACACACAUAUGAAACAGUCUUACAAACAGAGACAACAAAUAAAGCAAUAAUUUAUCAACUUAAAAAAAAAGUACUGGACAUUUGAAGCACUGGCAAAUGUAUUCCUUAAACAAAUGUUGUGUUCCUCUAUUUUCCAUUGGGAUGUGGGGCUGGCUGUUUGUUCUAUAUACUAUUUACAACUUGUGCUACAGUAGCAAUAAGGCAACCAAUCUGUUUUCUUGAAGCAAAGGAAAAAGUACUUUUAAGUUUUUGCUUGAUCAAAUUACAAAACAGCAAUGAGGUAAUAUUUGUACAUUAAAGUUUUCCUUUAUCUCUCUCUCUACAGAAAAGGCAAACAGUAGUUUUAGACAGAACCUUGGUUAUGAGAGUGUAUUUUUCUUUUAAAUGUUGAAAUAGUUGUUUUUAGUGAGGGCAAUCUUUAGAAAUACCCUCGCUUUUGCUUCUUGAAGCAAAAUCACAGCACUUAAAGUGUUUUAUAAGUGCUACAUAAAUAUAUAUA